UGACACAAUCCGUAUUUUUAAUUAUAAUUUGCUUUACUUUAAUAAUAAAGAUAAAAUCUAUUUCAUUCAUUCAUUCAAAGGAACACUAAUCGUCUAUAGUAUCAACAUGUGCAAGGAUAUGUUGGUUGUAACGUCUUUACGAGGACUGCAUCAGAGGACGCGUUAAAGAUUUUCAUAUCAUAAAAAACACGGACAUGUGUUUAUACUACCUUCUUCGUACACAGAUAUUGGUUUCACAAAUAAACAUAUAAUAUGUGCAUACAACUUUCUAGGAUUAUUUUUGUAUUGGGAGAAGAUGACCGUUUUCCCAAAAAAAAAUCAGGCAACUUUUAUGCGGGAAGGUCUAUCUUCCAGACCAACUGGUGAGUUAAACCAGUUGCUUUCAAAAUGGUCCCUUUGGGUUUCACCAGCGUAUGCCAAUUCCGUGCACAUAGGCAAGAAAUAAUUCAGAUAUCUUUGGGGUCCAGAGAGCUUGACAAGAUAUUAGAUGGAGGAAUCAAGAAUGGAAUGAGUUUUAUCUGUACUUUGUCAAAACCGGUGGUUAUAUCAAUAGUAGAAUCACAGUCCCAAGGAAGAUCACAAAUUCAAGCAAACCCAAAAAAUAAGAAAUUCGAAUUAUAGACUAAAGAAUAUCUUAGAUGCAUGGUAGAGCAAAAUUAAAUGUGAUGGGGGUGAUGAUAUUGAUCUACAAAGCCAGGAUAUUAAGGAGCUGGUUAAAAAGAGUCGAGGAGGUUGCAGGGUUUGCAGCCAAAGAUUAGUAAAUGGUUGCCGAAUACAAUUUUCAGAAGAAGAAAAGUGAUGACACAGGACUGCUUCCAGAACCCGCUGAAAGAAAGCAGCAGCUUUCUGCAGGAAGUAAUCAAACUCAUCUAUUAUACAUAUUCAUCUGUUGUGUUUCUUUGUUAGUGAUGGUUCAUAAGCAUUAUCGUGCUUCAGACUCAGUGUAUUAAAGAGACGGAGUGAUUAGGGCUGUCUAUUGUUGGGCUUGAACCCUAAAUAUGCUCGCCCAAAUUGGAUAUGUCCUUCAAACAACACUGCCUCCCGUCAAACCACCUGUCACGAAGGAUACCUCAGCUCGGAGUGUGUCUUGGUUUAAUGAAUGCUUCGAUUGUGGACCUGCAGCAAAGUCUAUUGUUCCUAAGUUCAGAGUGUUCUCAAAGCAUGUUCCCACACAUACCGGCUUCAAAGUGCCAUAAUUUGAGAUCAAUCUUCUGGUUGUUGGAGCUAUAUUCUUCAAGGGUAUUAGAAGCUUUCUUUUCAUACUGAACAGCUCACUUGGCGCUUUUCUUUUGAUCGUCCACCAGCUGAGUGCUACUCCCAUCUUUUAUUCUUUUACAUGACUUCUACAACCACGAUGUAGAGACACAAAUUUGCUCAACUUCUUUUUAUCAAGUUUACACUAGUUCCAACAACACAUCUCUACUCUUUGUUAAAUUGUUUCUAGGGUAUAUAUUGCAUGAUUUGGUUCAAACCUUUAUAUAUAAACGCUGAAUGUGGUUUUUUGUAGAAUUUGGCAUUGGAGGACUAAUUUUUUCCUUUGGGAUGAAAAGCUCUACUUCAAGAAGAGUGGAUACAAUUCAUAAAGGAACGCCGUUCUUUUGACUCUUUGGUUCCGAGCAGCUACUCCUGGAAAUAUGUCUUUGUAUCUUACAAUAUAUUAUAAGAUUGAAGACAUAUCGAUUGCUAUGUGAUAUCGCACUUUACAUACACAUCAUAUGUUGGAAAAGCUAUGAAAAUUAUAUUAACAGCGGGAAUCAUCAUCUUCCACGACAUGUUCGAGGCUUCCCCAUUUUGUGGAUUUACCAUAUGAAAGUGGGGCUAUCGCAUCAAACCAUAGAAGGAAAGGAGAAGCCCUUGCUAUAUAUGGUUUAACAGAAUAUGGUGAUGAAAUUGAUGUUAUUGCUCCAGCUAACAUUAAUAUGGAGAUGAAAUUGAUGUUAUUGCUCCAGCUAACAUUCUGAAGCAAAUAUUUAAGAUCCCAUACUCUAGGGCUCGCCUUUCGAUUGAUGUGCAUCGCAUUGGGCAGUCUCUCAUAUUGGAUACAAGGUGUAUUGGAUAUCCGUAAGGAUGACUUUGCUUUCUGUUAUAUUCCUCGUGAUGUGGUUUUUUUGAUAAAUUAAGGCUGGCUUGGUCCAGGUUAUAUGAA